GGACAUGAGUUAGCUCACUGGUAGAGUCUCUGAUUUGCAUGCAAAAGGUCCCAGGUUCAAGCCCAGGCAUCUUCA